rnacentral:lncRNA from 1 species
AUGAUUCAUACACAGGGAAGAAAAGAAGUAGGUGAAAACCACUUUUUUUAUGUCAGAAAGUAAAUUAAUAAAACCAACAGUUAGUUCUCAUAAUUGACAUGUUUAGCUAAACUAAUCAAGAAAAGAGAGAGAAUAGUAGAGAAUAGUCAAGUUAUUAAAAUCAAGGCAAAAACAGACUAUCACUAAUAACCUUACAAAAAGUAAAAGAAAAUGAUAUAAAUAAUUCUAUGCCAAUAAGAUUAAUAAUAUAAAUGAUAUGGACAAAUUUCUAGAAAGACAUAAAGUACCUAAAAACUGAAAACUCAAAAAUAAAUGGAAAAGUUUACUAGACCAACCUAUAGUAAAGGAUUAAAUUAUAUAUUUGGAAAAAUAAACCCAAAAUAUAAAACACUGUGCAAGAAAAAUUCAGAUACAAAUGGCUUCACUGAUGAGUUUUACCAAAUUUUCAAAGAAAAAUCAAUACCAAUGUUUCACAAACUCUUACAAAACUAGGAAAGUGGAGAAUACAUUCCAACUUAUUCUAUAAUUAUCCUAAUACCAGAAGAUAUCACAUUAAAUAUCAAAUAUGCAAGAAAAUAAAUAAAAAUAAACUCUAGACACUAAACUCCUUUAUGACUAGGAAUGCAAAAACCCUCCAUAAAAUAUGAAACUGAGCUAGGUUCAGUGGUGUAUGCCUAUAAUUCCAGUGGCUCAUGAGGUUCAGGCAGGAGGAUGGUGAUUUCAAAGCAAGCCUCAGCAACUUAGUGAGGACCUAAGUAAUUGAGCAAGACUCUGUCUUUAAAUAAAAAAUAAAAAGUGCUGGGGAUGUGGCUCAGUGACUAAGCAUCUCUGAGUUCAAUCCCUGGUACAAAAAAAAAAAAUUAUCAAAUUGAAUUUAACAAGAAUCUAACAACAUAUAAAGGGACCUACAGAAACUUUAUAUGGUGGGACAAUUUAAUAAAUACCAUAUGCUCUGACAUGUAGUGCACUAUACAGUACAUAGCAUCACCUGUGAGGCAUUUUGCCAAAUAAAUAACUUAAAAAGGAGAAGAGGGGAAUGGGGGGAAGAAGUUGUUAAGCUGAACCUAAGUUUUUAGAUCUAACCUCCAAUAUAUAGCAUAAUCAAGGACUAAAUGAACAAAUUAAUUGCCACUGAAGUAAAAGAAUAGGCCAAAAAAUGUGAUGUACUCUGUGAGUAAAAUGAUCUGAUCUCUUCAAGAAGUCAGUGUAUUAGGGGGUAAUGUAAGCUCUGUCACAGAACAAAAGUGAUUAAAGAGAUAUCAGGAACAAAAUGCAAUAUACAGACCUCAACUAACUUUUGUUUAAACAAAUAAAUAACAGAAUUAGAAAACAUAUUUGGGAAAAAUCAGGGAAAAUUGAAUGAGGUCUGUACAUUAGCUGACAUAAGGAAUUGCUCUUUUUUGAUGUAAUAAUGAAAAAUAAUGAUUUUGUAUGACAGUGUUCUUAUUUUGGGCAGAUGCAUGCUGAAAUAUUUAGAAAUGUUCUAUCUAUAAAGUUUGUUAAAAUUUUCAACAAACAAGAACAAAACAGACAGCUAAAGAAAUUAUAAAGUAUCAAUACUUGAAUCUACUUCGAUAGUAUGUGGAGCCUAUUGGACUAUUCUUUUGUCCGCAACUACCAUUUUUUUUGCAAGAAAAACUUGGAAAAAAAU